rnacentral:lncRNA from 1 species
CCGGGAAUGAGAAUUGCUGCAGGACUUCCAGUGCUAAAAUUGGGACAGGUCCUGGACAAAUUCAAAAGCCCCUGUCUGUUCCCCUCCAGAGAUUCCAUCAAGAAGACUUCUGCACUGGGUUUGAGGCUCUGACCAUCCACAGUCCUGGGUCCUAUUCUCAACUCCAAAAACACCGCAAGGAGAGUGGUGGACUUCCUCUCAAGAGGAUUGGGCAUCUGUGUCUGGUGAAGUCUUUAAGGAGGCCCAAUAAAUAACACCUCUUUCCUUCACUGAAGCUUUAAGGCUUGUUGGGAAUUCAGAGACUAA